AUUAGGUCAGUUGUGGUUUCAACGUUGAAACAACGUUGAUUCAACGUUUAAAGCUGAAUGGUUGAAAAACAUCCAGCACAUGACCAACUUUCAAAGUUGAAAUAUGGUUGAAAUAAGGUCAGUUGUGGUUUCAACGUUGAAACAACGUUGAUUCAACGUUUAAAGAUGAACUGUUGAAAAACUUCCAGCACAUGACCAACUUUCAACAUUGAAAUAUGGUUGAAAUAAGGUCAGUUGUUUUAAUGAAACAACGUUAAAAAUGUUUAAUGCUAAAUGGUAGAAAAAGGUUAACAAGCUUUUAAAUUAUUUAUAUUAAAUUAUUUAAAUUAAUUAUUAUUUUAAUAGCAUUUAAAAAUAUUUUAGUCAUGAUACCUAUUCUAAAAUCUAAAGGUAUAUGUUAAAUAUUAUCAUCAUUAACAACAAUAAAACUAUACAUUUCGCUGCUUUAUCACACUGAAACAACUCCCAUUGGUAGUUUUAUUUUAUUACUUCUAUCAUGAUUGGUUAAUCUGGCUGUCAUUCAGGAAACUGGACAAUGAAUCGGUUCGCGCUUUUCUACAUUUAAAAAUAUGACCGUUAUUGUCGUCUUUCUGUGAGUGAGGCGGCUAACUGUGAGCUGCUGCUCGUUAUAAUUUACUGCUCGGUCGGUCCCGAAUUAUUUCAUAUUUGCCUGUACAUUUUUUAUUUAUUUUGAGCGAAUUUGAGUCGUGACAUGUCAAUGGAGAACAAAAACUGUGAACACAAGAAGGGUCAGGUGUUCUGCGAGGUCCUGAAAACAUCCUGGCAAAAUGAGAUGAUCAAGUUAGAUGCUCACCCAAUGUGUUGCUGAGUCAUCAAGGAUCCAGCUUGUUCUUGAAACAUUGAAGUUUGCCCUCUGCAAGUGAACGACGCCUUGUGGUGCCAUCCCAAAGAAGUUCACAAUCACUCUCACGGUCCUUUUCCUGGACUGUACCCAGCUGGUGGAAUCACCUCCCAAUCUCAAUCCGAACUGCUAAGUCUUUACUCAUUUUCAAGAAACAUCUUAAGACUCAUCUUUUUCACCAGAACUUAACCAACUAAUGCUAGCACUUUUCCUUCUUUUCUUGUCUUUCAUAUAUAUAUAUAAAAAAAAAAAAAACCUGGCUAUGCGUUCUGUACUAGACUAACUGAGACUUGUCAUGGCACUUGUAUACUGUUGUUGUUCGCUUGUACACCUGACUGCUUCUGUUGUUCUCAUUUGUAAGUCGCUUUGGAUAAAAUCGUCUGUUAAAUGAUGAAAUGUAAAUGUUUAUACAGGACGGUACAGAAAGUGCACAAGUGGGAGAGAGUGGAGGGGAUGGCAUCAGAAAGGACCUAGCGCUGGGACACUUUCAAGGAUCACCCGAAGCACAACCACACUGUAUACACUAAGGCUGCUGGUUCUAACAUUUUAGAGUGCCCUGCAGUAGAAAUCUCAUUCUGCAUUCCCCACAGUAAAGAAAACACAGUCCGGGGGGUUCCCAUUAGAAAUCAACUGGUGGAAGGUUCCCUUCUCGAACUGUUCAACACAUUUUCACUGCACAAAUGUACACAACUCUUGUAAUGAAACACAUUACUCAAACAUGUUUUUGACAGAAACUGUAGUUUUCCACCAAAAUAAAAGAUCCACUGGUUUCAGUCAUAAAGGUACAAGGGUUUGUCUUGUAAGUGCUGCAAAAAAAUAUGCAUUUAUGUGCCAAAUUAUUUUACAAAAACCUUUAAAUAUUAUUGUAUUUGGAUUGUUCUUCUACCUGUUUUUAGCAUUACCUCCAUGCAUACUCUGCAUAAUAAAG